rnacentral:rRNA from 1 species
GUCUACGGUCAUGCCACCCUGAACGUGCCCAAUCUUGUCUGAUCUCAGAAGCUAAGCUGGGUCAGGUCUGGUUAGUACUUGGAGACCACUCAGGAAUACCAGGUACUAUAGGCG